rnacentral:rRNA from 1 species
CUAGAGCUGAAGUCAAGUAAGAGGACCCGCUGAAUUUAAGCAUAUUACUAAGCGGAGGAAAAGAAACUAACCAGGAUUCCCUCAGUAACGGCGAGUGAAGCGGGAUCAGCUCAACUUGAAAACCUGCCGCUCUCAGCGGUCGGAUUGUAGCCUGGGUGUGGGCCCUGGAGGUUGCGCCCGGUGUAAUUCGGUAUUGAGAUACCGAGCCGGAGAGGGUCAUAGCCCCGUCACGUCGGAACGCACCUCUGCCUGGGCCCCUACCCGUGAGUCGUGUUGCUUGGGACUGCAGCGCCAAUCCGGAGGUAAUGUCCUUCGAAAGCUAAAUAUUUGCGGGAGCCCGAUAGCGAACAAGUACCGUGAGGGAAAGAUGAAAAGAACUUUGAAAAGAAAGUGAAAUAGUACGUGAAAUCGUUGGUGGCAAGCGAAUCAGACUUCCCUCCCGUCGCCGGGCUCGCCCCGGCGCUCGGGGGCACGAUCGGCUUUGGGCAGAUCACACGGCACCCUACCGGUUUCGGCUUCGGGGUUUUGCCCGGUCUGCUUGGGGCUGAGGAUAACCUACUCGCGGCCCGCCCUGCGUCUCUGGACGCUGCGGUUGCCCAGGAUCGUGCCAUGCUACCGGUCUGAUCCGACCCGUCUUGAAACACGGACCAAGGAGUCUAACAUGCGUGCGAGUGUUAGGGUGGCAAACCCUGACGCACAGGUAACCCGAGUAUUGCCCGAGCCCUUUACCAGGCGCAAGGCAGGCAGAGCGUUGACCUUCUGGUCAGUGCCUAGCAAGAGCAUGUA